GGAGGCUGGGGGCGGCCUGUGUGAAGGGGGCGGGGAGGGAAAGGCUCGCGGCCCGUAGAUGCAGGAGGGAGGAGGGCCUAGAGGGGCUCCGGGCUGGCGGCCUUUGUGAGGAAGGGGAAGGAUAUGGAACCAAGAUCCUUUAAAUCCUGAUGAACUCAUCCGUAAAGCAGAUGCCCAAAGGAUGAUACAAGGCAAUUUACUUCUAUAGAAGGGUGCGCCCUCACAGAUGGAGCAAUGUAGAGAUGGAUUUCACCGUGUUAGGAUGGCUUCGAUCUCCUGACUUCAUGAUCUUCCCGCCUCGGCCUCCCAAAGUGCUGGGAUUACAGGUGUGAGCCACCGCAUCUGGCCAGAAGUUAAGUAUAAAAGUAGAAGACAAAGAAUUGAACAUACUGACAUUGAUUCUUUGAAGAGAAAUUUAGAACUCAUAUCUAACACCAGCCUCCAAUUGAUUGAGCCAAUUCCUUCAAAUAAAUCUCUCUCUGCAAUAUG